GGUAGUCUAGCUUGGUUAGGAUAGAGGACUGUGGAUCCUUUGACGCGAGUUCAAAGCCCAUCCCU
rnacentral:tRNA from 1 species